GACCCGUCUUGAAACACGGACCAAGGAGUCUAACGUAUGCGCGAGCUAAUGAGUGGAAAACUCAUAAGCGCAAUAAAAGUAAAAGCCGUUUCGGACGGCGUAGGGUACGAUCCCGGGGUAUUUUUACUGGUAUCCAGGGCGCAGUACCAUCCCAUCCUGAUCGCUCGUCGAUAGGGUGGAGAUUGAGUGCAUAUGUUGGGACCCGAAAGAUGGUGAACUAUGCCUGAGCAGAGCGAAGCCAGAGGAAACUCUGGUGGAGGUUCGUAGCGGUUCUGACGUGCAAAUCGAUCGUCAGACUUGGGUAUAGGGGCGAAAGACUAAUCGAACCAUC
rnacentral:rRNA from 1 species